AUUGAACGCUGGCGGCAGGCCUAACACAUGCAAGUCGAGCGAGCGGCGGACGGGUGAGUAAUGUCUGGGAAACUGCCUGAUGGAGGGGGAUAACUACUGGAAACGGUAGCCAAUACCGCAUACCAUCAGAUGUGCCCAGAUGGGAUUAGCUAGUAGGUGGGGUAAUGGCUCACCUCGGCGACGAUCCCUAGCUGGUCUGAGAGGAUGACCAGCCACACUGGAACAGAGACACGGUCCAGACUCCUACGGGAGGCAGCAGUGGGGAAUAUUGCACAAUGGACGCAAGCCUGAUGCAGCCAUGCCGCGUGUAUGAAGCAGGCCUUCGGGUUGUAAAGUACUGUCAUCGGGGAGGCGUUACCCGCAGAGGAAGCACCGGCUAACUACGUGCCAGCAGCCGCGGUAAUUC
rnacentral:rRNA from 1 species